rnacentral:rRNA from 1 species
UUGGAGGGCAAGUCUGGUGCCAGCAGCUGCGGUAAUCCCAGCUCCAAUAGCGUAUAUUAAAGUUGUUGCAGUUAAAAAGCUCGUAGUUGAAUUUCGAGAUCAAUUUGUUGGUCGUGCCUCGGUACGUACUGGCAAUUUUGAUUUCUCCCUUCUGAAGAACCAUGAUGUCAUUAAUUUGGUGUCAUGGGGAAUCAGGACUGUUACUUUGAAUAAAUUAGAGUGUUUAAAGCAGGCUCGCGCUUGAAUACAUUAGCAUGGAAUAAUGAAAUAGGACGUUUGAUUCUAUUUUGUUGGUUUCUAGGAUCGACGUAAUGAUUAAUAGGGAUAGUUGGGGGCAUUAGUAUUCAAUUGUCAGAGGUGAAAUUCUUGGAUUUAUUGAAGACUAACUACUGCGAAAGCAUUUGCCAAGGAUGUUUUCAUUAAUCAAGAACGAAAGUUAGGGGAUCGAGGACAAUCAGAUACCGUCGUAGUCUUAACCAUAAACUAUGCCGACUAGU